UGGGGAAUUUUGGACAAUGGGGGAAACCCUGAUCCAGCCAUCCCGCGUGUGCGAUGAAGGCCUUCGGGUUGUAAAGCACUUUUGGCAGGAAAGAAACGUCAUGGGUUAAUACCCCGUGAAACUGACGGUACCUGCAGAAUAAGCACCGGCUAACUACGUGCCAGCAGCCGCGGUAAUACGUAGGGUGCAAGCGUUAAUCGGAAUUACUGGGCGUAAAGCGUGCGCAGGCGGUUCGGAAAGAAAGAUGUGAAAUCCCAGAGCUCAACUUUGGAACUGCAUUUUUAACUACCGGUCUAGAGUGUGUCAGAGGGAGGUGGAAUUCCGCGUGUAGCAGUGAAAUGCGUAGAUAUGCGGAGGAACACCAAUGGCGAAGGCAGCCUCCUGGGAUAACACUGACGCUCAUGCACGAAAGCGUGGGGAGCAAACAGG
rnacentral:rRNA from 1 species